GUGCUGGCUUAGACAGCACAUAUACUAAAAUUGGAAGAACAUAGAGAAGAUUAGCAUGGCCCCUGCGAAAAGAUGACACACAAAUUUGUGAAAUGUUCCAUAUUUUU